ACUGUCUGCACAGACUGACUAUGAGAUCAUGACCUGAGCCGAAGUCAGACACGUAACCAACUGAGCCACCCAAUUUCCCCUUGAAUUCAGUUUUUGAGAAUAGAAAAUACUCAGGUUAUCUAGUUAAUUUUGUUUUAGUUUACAUUAUUUUAGUUAAGGUCUGGUAGCUCGUGUCUUUCAAGGUAUUGAUUCAUUUAAUCCAACUUGAUAUGCAUAGUUGUGUUAGGUCCUGAGUGCCCUUUUAAAAUAAUGGUACCUCUUUCAGGCCUGAGAUUGGUCAUUUGGGUCUUGUCAGUUUUGCUAGAGAUUCAUCAAUUUCAUUGCUUUUUUUUCAAAGAACUGGUUUUUAGUUUUGUUGCUAUUUCUUACUGUUUUCGGUUUCAUUGAUUUUUUUUUUUUUAACCCCUCCUUUUUUGUGACCAUUUUCCAUAUGCUUGCUUUGGGUUUAUUCUGCUAUUUUUCUAGUUUCUUUCUCUGGACGCUUAUUGAAGCUUUUUUUUCUUAAAUUAAUUGAAUUAAUAAAAGGGAAUUUCUUAAUAAAAGUAGUGUGAAUUACUCUAAACACUGGUUUAGCUACAUUUCGUACAUUUUGAUAUUUUCAUUCAUUUCAAAAUAUUUUACUCCUUUUAGACUUCCCCUUAGAGCCAUGAAUUAUUGAGAAGUCUGUUGUGUAGGCCCAGACUCAGGACCCCAUGAUGAAGAGUUGCAUGCUGUACUGAGUUAGCCAGACCCCUCCCCCCCCCACAAAUUGGCAUCUGUAAAUCAAGCUUAUUUGGCUGAUGUUUACUCAUGUUGGGUAUGAAAAAUUACAAUAACACAUCUUAUAAAAACUAUUGUAUUUGUAUAAAAUAGGAAAAAUAAAUUCCAAAGGAUUAUUUUUUGAUCACGAUGGUGGCACUUAAGUUAAUGUGGCCAGAAUAUAGUUUUGAUUGUAAAGUAUACAAUUUCAUAAGUCUGUGUAAUCGUCUAUUUGGGGAGGUAAUGUGCACAGUGGUUAAGAGCACAGCCUUUGCUUGGAUUUAAAUCCUUACUCCAAGUAGCAGAUAUGUGACCUUGGGCUAAUGACUUGCCUUUUUGUCUUUUUGUGGCUCCAGUUCAUUUGUAAAUUGGGAUAUUCUCAUUUAGUUUGGAGGAUUAGAGAAGAUUCAUAUAAAAAAUGACGUUAGUACCUGCCAGUAAAAAACUAUCAUUGCUAAUCACAAAUGUUAGAUCUAGAAAUGUGUUUCUAUAUUUUUAAGCAAGCUCUAUAUCCAACAUGGGGCCUGAACUUAAGACCCAGAGAUCAAGUCACAUGCUCUAUAGAUUGAGCCAGGUAGGCCCCCAGAAUUUUGUGUUUUUAGAUAGUAUGCUAUAUAAUUUGAAAUACAUAAGGUUCAGGUGCCUUUUUUAAAACUAACACUGAAAAGAGGGAUACUUAAGUAUAUCUAAACCAAGUGCAAAAGGAACUUUCCUUUAUAAGUUUUUGUUCAGUAACCCUUUGCAGUGUUCACAUGGUCUUAGUUUAAUUAAACAUGAUCGAUUCAAAA